rnacentral:piRNA from 1 species
UGAGCCAAUGGCGAGCUUCUUCUCAAUGCC